rnacentral:rRNA from 1 species
GGGUGACUGCGUACCUUUUGUAUAAUGGGUCAGCGACUUAUAUUCUGUAGCAAGGUUAACCGUAUAGGGGAGCCGCAGGGAAACCGAGUCUUAACUGGGCGUUAAGUUGCAGGGUAUAGACCCGAAACCCGGUGAUCUAGCCAUGGGCAGGUUGAAGGUUGGGUAACACUAACUGGAGGACCGAACCGACUAAUGUUGAAAAAUUAGCGGAUGACUUGUGGCUGGGGGUGAAAGGCCAAUCAAACCGGGAGAUAGCUGGUUCUCCCCGAAAGCUAUUUAGGUAGCGCCUCGUGAACUCAUCUUCGGGGGUAGAGCACUGUUUCGGCUAGGGGGUCAUCCCGACUUACCAACCCGAUGCAAACUACGAAUACCGAAGAAUGUUAUCACGGGAGACACACGGCGGGUGCUAACGUCCGUCGUGAAGAGGGAAACAACCCAGACCGCCAGCUAAGGUCCCAAAGUCAUGGUUAAGUGGGAAACGAUGUGGGAAGGCCCAGACAGCCAGGAUGUUGGCUUAGAAGCAGCCAUCAUUUAAAGAAAGCGUAAUAGCUCACUGGUCGAGUCGGCCUGCGCGGAAGAUGUAACGGGGCUAAACCAUGCACCGAAGCUGCGGCAGCGACACUAUGUGUUGUUGGGUAGGGGAGCGUUCUGUAAGCCGUUGAAGGUGGCCUGUGAGGGUUGCUGGAGGUAUCAGAAGUGCGAAUGCUGACAUAAGUAACGAUAAUGCGGGUGAAAAACCCGCACGCCGGAAGACCAAGGGUUCCUGUCCAACGUUAAUCGGGGCAGGGUGAGUCGACCCCUAAGGCGAGGCCGAAAGGCGUAGUCGAUGGGAAACAGGUUAAUAUUCCUGUACUCGGUGUUACUGCGAAGGGGGGACGGAGAAGGCUAUGUUGGCCGGGCGACGGUUGUCCCGGUUUAAGCAUGUAGGCGGAUGUUCCAGGUAAAUCCGGAACGUCACUAACGCUGAGGUGUGAUGACGAGGCACUACGGUGCUGAAGUGACAAAUGCCCUGCUUCCAGGAAAAGCCUCUAAGCAUCAGGUAACAUCAAAUCGUACCCCAAACCGACACAGGUGGUCAGGUAGAGAAUACCAAGGCGCUUGAGAGAACUCGGGUGAAGGAACUAGGCAAAAUGGUGCCGUAACUUCGGGAGAAGGCACGCUGAUGGUA